AAUCAACGCUGGCGGCGUGCCUAACACAUGCCAGUCGAACGCGAAAGCCCCGCAAGGGGUAAGUAGAGUGGCAAACGGGUGAGUAACACGUGGGUGACCUGCCUUCGAGUGGGGGAUAACGUCCCGAAAGGGACGCUAAUACCGCAUGACAUCCUGCUUUUGAAAAAGCGGAGAUCAAAGCUGGGGAUCGCAAGACCUAGCGCUUGAAGAGGGGCCCGCGCCUGAUUAGCUAGUUGGUGAGGUAACGGCUCACCAAGGCGACGAUCAGUAUCCGGCCUGAGAGGGCGGACGGACACACUGGGACUGAGACACGGCCCAGACUCCUACGGGAGGCAGCAGUGGGGAAUUGUUCGCAAUGGGCGCAAGCCUGACGACGCAACGCCGCGGGGAGGACGAAGAUCUUCGGGUCGUAAACUCCUGUCGAGCGGGACGAACGCUUCGCGGAUGAAUAAUCCGCGGAAUUGACGGUACCGCUAAAGGAAGCCCCGGCUAACUCCGUG
rnacentral:rRNA from 1 species